AGUGAACGCUGGCGGUAGGCCUAACACAUGCAAGUCGAACGGCAGCACAGUAAGAGCUUGCUCUUACGGGUGGCGAGUGGCGGACGGGUGAGGAAUACAUCGGAAUCUACUUUUUCGUGGGGGAUAACGUAGGGAAACUUACGCUAAUACCGCAUACGACCUACGGGGGAAAGCAGGGGAUCUUCGGACCUUGGGCGAUUGAAUGAGCCGAUGUCGGAUUAGCUAGUUGGCGGGGUAAAGGCCCACCAAGGCGACGAUCCGUAGCUGGUCUGAGAGGAUGAUCAGCCACACUGGAACUGAGACACGGUCCAGACUCCUACGGGAGGCAGCAGUGGGGAAUAUUGGACAAUGGGCGCAAGCCUGAUCCAGCCAUACCGCGUGGGUGAAGAAGGCCUUCGGGUUGUAAAGCCCUUUUGUUGGGAAAGAAAAGCAGCAGGUUAAUACCCCGCUGUUCUGACGGUACCCAAAGAAUAAGCACCGGCUAACUUCGUG
rnacentral:rRNA from 1 species